UACGAAGGGGGCUAGCGUUGUUCGGAAUUACUGGGCGUAAAGCGCGCGCAGGCGGUCUUCCAAGUCAGUGGUGAAAGCCCGGAGCUCAACUCCGGAACUGCCAUUGAAACUGUUAGACUUGAGGAUGAGAGAGGUGAGUGGAAUUCCCAGUGUAGAGGUGAAAUUCGUAGAUAUUGGGAAGAACACCGGUGGCGAAGGCGGCUCACUGGCUCAGUUACUGACGCUCGAGGCGCGAUAGCGUGGGAUCAAACAGG
rnacentral:rRNA from 1 species